UAACCGCGAUGGGGGCAGAGGCCUUGCAAUUCUUUGUACCUUUCCCACGCUUGAUAUAAAGUUUCACUCUCCUUUUGAGUAAAAGACGAGAUUUGCUUUUUCAAUGCA
rnacentral:snoRNA from 1 species